rnacentral:rRNA from 1 species
GACGAACGCUGGCGGCGUGCCUAAUACAUGCAAGUAGAACGCACAGUUUAUACCGUAGCUUGCUACACCAUAGACUGUGAGUUGCGAACGGGUGAGUAACGCGUAGGUAACCUGCCUGGUAGCGGGGGGUAACUAUUGGAAACGAUAGCUAAUACCGCAUAAUAUUGAUUAUUGCAUGAUAAUUGAUUGAAAGAUGCUAUUGCAUCACUACCAGAUGGACCUGCGUUGUAUUAGCUAGUAGGUGAGGUAACGGCUCACCUAGGCGACGAUACAUAGCCGACCUGAGAGGGUGAUCGGCCACACUGGGACUGUGACACGGCCCAGACUCCUACGGGAGGCAGCAGUAGGGAAUCUUCGGCAAUGGACGAAAGUCUGACCGAGCAACGCCGCGUGAGUGAAGAAGGUUUUCGGAUCGUAAAGCUCUGUUGUAAGAGAAGAACGGGUGUGAGAGUGGAAAGUUCACACUGUGACGGUAACUUACCAGAAAGGGACGGCUAACUACGUG